GAAAGAUGCUCUGUGCACUUAUCUGCAGCUGCUGUCUUGAGAUCGGAAAAUCUCUGCGGUUUCUGGUGGUGAUGAAGGAAGAGCUGCUGGUAUUAAUGGGGUUUAUUGCCUCUGUUCACCAGGAAGGAGAUACUGAAUUUCAAUGAAAAGUUAGGGAAAAUAAGCAUGGGAACUCUUUCCUCCCCAGAUGUGCAUUCUAGAGAAAUUUAGUCCUUGCCAACUUGGGUCCGAGACUCCAGACCCCAUGAUAUCCCUGGCUUGUCUGUAAUGGGGAGACAGAAAAACAGGUUUGGAAAUGAUGUCCCCCUCUUUGAACUCUCAUUGUCAAGGCUGGAAAUCAAGAAUUAAAAAACAAACAAUGUUGUGGGUGCUGACUCUCCAAGAACACCUGCUACGUCGCCAUGUGCCUGUCCUCGUGCUGGGAUGCCUGUGAGAGCUAGCAACAGUCCCUCUUCACCUGGUGCUUGGCUUCCUCCUUCAAGGAUCCACUAUUGGGCAAGACUGACUACAACCCAUGACAUGCAGCCAACACUCUCUGUCUCCCACUCCCUGCUUCCUGCAGGCUGGGUUCAUCUGGUGCAGUGCUGCACAUGCAAUCACACACGUUUAUUGUCUACUUCUAUUAGUAGUGCUUCUCUGGGAGUGCAGACAUGACUCGGUAGGUAAAGUUCUUGUUUCACAAGCAUGAAGACC
rnacentral:lncRNA from 1 species